GGCUUGAGUCAGAGCACCAUUCUUGGGGACCCUGGAACGCUAUCAUGGAAACGGAGAGUGAGCAGAACUCGAGUUCGACCAAUGGGAGUUCCAGCUCAGGGGCCAGCUCUCGGCCCCAGAUAGCACAAAUGUCCCUGUAUGAGCGGCAGGCAGUGCAGGCUCUGCAAGCCCUGCAGCGGCAGCCUAAUGCAGCUCAGUACUUCCACCAGUUCAUGCUCCAGCAGCAGCUCACAGGCGCCUGGGGGUUUGGGUCAGCUGCCUUCUUCAGGACUAGCUGGUGGAAACUGUCCCCGGAAGGGUACAGGAGUGGUGCAGCCCUUACCUGCGGCUCAAACAGUGACUGUGAGCCAGGGAAGCCAAACAGAGGCAGAGAGUGCAGCGGCCAAGAAGGCAGAAGGAGAUGGGAGUAGCCAGCAGAGUGUGGGCAUGAACCUGACUCGGACAGCCACACCUGCCCCCAGCCAGACGCUUAUUAGCUCAGCCACAUACACACAGAUCCAGCCCCAUUCCCUGAUUCAGCAACAGCAGCAGAUCCACCUCCAGCAGAAGCAAGUGGUGAUCCAGCAGCAGAUUGCCAUCCACC
rnacentral:lncRNA from 1 species